rnacentral:rRNA from 1 species
UGGCCGCGGGAUUGGGUUCGAUUCCGGAGAGGGAGNNNNANAAAUGGCUACCACAUCCAAGGAAGGCAGCAGGCGCNUNAAUUGCCCGAAUCCUGACACAGGGAGGUAGUGACAAGAAAUAACAAUACAGGGCUCUUUCGAGUCUUGUAAUUGGAAUGAGUACAAUUUACAUCUCUUCACGAGGAUCAAUUGGAGGGCAAGUCUGGUGCCAGCAGCCGCGGUAAUUCCAGCUCCAAUAGCGUAUAUUAAAGUUGUUGCAGUUAAAACGCUCGUAGUCGGAUUUCGGGGCAGGUUUGCCGGUCUGCCGAUGGGUAUGCACUGGUAGAACUGUCCUUCCUUCCGGAGACGGCGCCUACUCUUAACUGAGCGGGUGUCGGAGACGGAUCGUUUACUUUGAAAAAAUCAGAGUGUUUCAAGCAGGCAGCUCGCUUUUGCAUGGAUUAGCAUGGGAUAAUGAAAUAGGACUUUGGUGCUAUUUUGUUGGUUUCGAACACCGAAGUAAUGAUUAACAGGGACAGUCAGGGGCACUCGUAUUCCGCCGAGAGAGGUGAAAUUCUUAGACCAGCGGAAGACGAACCACAGCGAAAGCAUUUGCCAGGGAUGUUUUCACUGAUCAAGAACGAAAAGUUAGGGGAUCGAAGACGAUCAGAUACCGUCGUAGUCUUAACCAUAAACC